ACGCUGGCGGCAGGCUUAACACAUGCAAGUCGAACGGUAACAGGGAUUAGCUUGCUAAUCUGCUGACGAGUGGCGGACGGGUGAGUAAUGCUUGGGAAUCUGGCUUAUGGAGGGGGAUAACUACGGGAAACUGUAGCUAAUACCGCGUAAAAUCUUCGGAUUAAAGGGUGGGACUUUCGAGCCACCUGCCAUAAGAUGAGCCCAAGUGGGAUUAGGUAGUUGGUUAGGUAAAGGCUGACCAAGCCGACGAUCUCUAGCUGGUCUGAGAGGAUGACCAGCCACACUGGAACUGAGACACGGUCCAGACUCCUACGGGAGGCAGCAGUGGGGAAUAUUGCACAAUGGGGGGAACCCUGAUGCAGCCAUGCCGCGUGAAUGAAGAAGGCCUUCGGGUUGUAAAGUUCUUUCGGUGACGAGGAAGGUUGAUAGGUUAAUAGCCUAUCAAAUUGACGUUAAUCACAGAAGAAGCACCGGCUAACUCCGUGCCAGCAGCCGCGGUAAUACGGGGGUGCGAGCGUUAAUCGGAAUAACUGGGCGUAAAGGGCACGCAGGCGGUGACUUAAGUGAGAUGUGAAAGCCCCGAGCUUAACUUGGGAAUUGCAUUUCAUACUGGGUCGCUAGAGUACUUUAGGGAGGGGUAGAAUUCCACGUGUAGCGGUGAAAUGCGUAGAGAUGUGGAGGAAUACCGAAGGCGAAGGCAGCCCCUUGGGAAUGUACUGACGCUCAUGUGCGAAAGCGUGGGGAGCAAACAGGAUUAGAUACCCUGGUAGUCCACGCUGUAAACGAUGUCGAUUUGGGGAUUGGGCUUUGAGCUUGGUGCCCGUAGCUAACGUGAUAAAUCGACCGCCUGGGGAGUACGGCCGCAAGGUUAAAACUCAAAUGAAUUGACGGGGGCCCGCACAAGCGG
rnacentral:rRNA from 1 species